rnacentral:lncRNA from 1 species
AUUACGUCAUGACGUUGUUGUUGGCGGUAUUUUUGUUUGGCAUCUACAAUGUUUAGUGCCAAAUUCGGGUGUAACAUUCACUUAAAAGAAAAGCUAUAGAUGCUUCAAAAUGAAAUAAUUCUGGCAGACACAGAGGCUAAUGAUGAUCAGUCAAAUGAGGCAGUGAAUCGCCUGAUUGCAAUCACAUCUGAGCUAGAGCAAUGGCAAGAAAUGGAACCAAAAUUGCUGACAACAAAUCCUGAAGUCUUACUAGCGGUUGGUAAAGAAGAGUUGCAGAGACUCAACAGUCAACUUAAAAUGGUCCUGUCAUGCUCACAAGCAAAGCUGGAUGCCCAGAAAAAGAUUUUGAAAAGGGAGCAGACAUGGCAAGCAGAGAAGAAAGAAGCAUUGAAUGCAGUGUGUGAGAAAAUCACCAGAUUACAGCGUGAAAACGAGAAAUCAGAGCACAGGAUAUGA